UGCAAGUCGAGCGGAGAGAAGUAGCUUGCUACUGAUCUUAGCGGCGGACGGGUGAGUAAUGCUUAGGAAUCUGCCUAUUAGUGGGGGACAACAUUCCGAAAGGAAUGCUAAUACCGCAUACGCCCUACGGGGGAAAGCAGGGGAUCAUUAGACCUUGCGCUAAUAGAUGAGCCUAAGUCGGAUUAGCUAGUUGGUGGGGUAAAGGCCUACCAAGGCGACGAUCUGUAGCGGGUCUGAGAGGAUGAUCCGCCACACUGGGACUGAGACACGGCCCAGACUCCUACGGGAGGCAGCAGUGGGGAAUAUUGGACAAUGGGGGGAACCCUGAUCCAGCCAUGCCGCGUGUGUGAAGAAGGCCUUUUGGUUGUAAAGCACUUUAAGCGAGGAGGAGGCUACUCUGGUUAAUACCCAGGGAUAGUGGACGUUACUCGCAGAAUAAGCACCGGCUAACUCUGUGCCAGCAGCCGCGGUAAUACAGAGGGUGCGAGCGUUAAUCGGAUUUACUGGGCGUAAAGCGUACGUAGGCGGCUUUUUAAGUCGGAUGUGAAAUCCCUGAGCUUAACUUAGGAAUUGCAUUCGAUACUGGGAAGCUAGAGUAUGGGAGAGGAUGGUAGAAUUCCAGGUGUAGCGGUGAAAUGCGUAGAGAUCUGGAGGAAUACCGAUGGCGAAGGCAGCCAUCUGGCCUAAUACUGACGCUGAGGUACGAAAGCAUGGGGAGCAAACAGGAUUAGAUACCCUGGUAGUCCAUGCCGUAAACGAUGUCUACUAGCCGUUGGGGCCUUUGAGGCUUUAGUGGCGCA
rnacentral:rRNA from 1 species